CUUCAAAAAAUCUAAAGAAAAUGUUCUUUAUAAGAAACAGGAAGGCACCCCUGAGGGGCUGUAUCUCUAAUGAACCAUGGCUGUCAUCAGGAAAAUGGUUGGGAGAUUUCUCAAUCCCUGAAAGGGAUGAGGUUGGGGGAGUUGCCCAGAGGAAUCCCUGUUCCCACUGAUUUUUAUUAGCAAAACAUCCUGUGUCUUUUGGAGUACGAUGUGUAAGUGCCCAUUGGGUGGCCUGUUGGUCACUGUGCAGCAGUCUGCUCCCCAAUAAAGCGUGCUCUUUCACAAACAAAAAAAAAAAAA
rnacentral:lncRNA from 1 species